UUUAAAAUUCCGUGUUAAACUUACGAUUGAAAAAAUUUAUCAUUUUCCUUUUACGAUCUGAUAAAUGUACGCGGACAAAGUGGAUUUCGACAAUUUGGUAAUGUGAUACACACAUUUGGACGAUUUGAGUGGAGUGCUUUGAUUUCUCGUUCGUAGAUAGAGAGAGGGAAAGAGAGGGAGAGAGAGAGUGGGAAAGAGAGAGAGAGAGAGAGAGGGAGAGAGAGAGAUCGUGGACAAACACGAAUAUGGAGGGUCUGUUUGUGUGCGGAAUCUCGUUAAAACGGCGAACAACAGGUGGUCGGUGGCGCCGUCUCUAAUUUCUAUUUGGUAUCAAGCGAAUCAAUCUUUUACGUGGGUCCAGCGAAUGAGAAGGUCUUCCUUGUUGGAGACACGAAAAUGCAUUCCUGCUAUAGAAUGGAAGGAAAGACGACGCAUCUCGAAUAGGCGAGAGAACGAGAAGGAAGAAAAUACGAUGUAGUAGGAAGAGUCGAGGCGCGCGCGCACAUACACACACACACACACAACCGCAUGCAAUACACAUACACUCAUGCGCGCGUGCAAGAGAGAGAGAGAGAGAGAGAGAAAGAGAGAGAGGGGUAAGUAUCAAUAAUUGAGCACCAUAGGAAGAGGGGGUUGGCCUCCGCUCGGCCAUUUAGCGGUCGAAUGAAGGGGGAUGGGUCGCGGAUAUACUACUACCCAUGCUAGUACGGAGAUAUCGGUGGAUGUAUCGCACGGCGAAGCCUGCUAUCGACAUGUCGACGAUGCCAGGCCGGUGCGUUGCUGCUGUUGCUGUUACUGCUGCUGCUGUUAGUGUUCUCUCUCUCUCUCUCUCUCUCUCUCUCUCUCUCUCUCUUUCUCUCUCUCUGUCUGUAUAUAUUCGAGGAUAUAGGAAACUAUCCUAGCUGCGAUCAUGAUACGCGAAAAUAUCAUCUGUCAUUGUAGAAUGCGUGCCAGGACAUCUCCAGAACCAACCAUCUUUACCUCUUUUAUUUUCUUUUAUUUUCUUUUCCUUUCGUUUCGUUUCGUUUCAUUUCUCUCUUUCUCUACCUUUUUCAUUACCACAUUUGCAGAUAUUUCUUUGGAUAGAAUCGCUAGGACCAAGAGACGAUCAUUGAAACGAUCAACGAGUCGUAUUUGCUGUUCGUUGGAUUCUCGUGAUUAUGGAAUCGACGAUCGAUCUGCUUUCUCUCUCUCUCUCUCUUUAUUUCUCUCUCUCUCUCUCUCUCUCUCUCCCUUUCUAUCCCUAUCUCUAUCUGUCGGUCUGUUCAUCCAUUCGUCCGUCCGUCCGUCCGUCUGUCUAUCUGUCUGUCUGUCUUUCUUUCUCGCAAUACCGAUGGCCUCGUUCAGCCGCGAAUUCGUAUAAUCGUGAUGGAUUUGACGAGCUUUAUCCCUUUCGACUCUCUAUCUACCAAUCUGGCACUCGACGCGUAAAUCAAAGUGGAACUUCCUAUCUCUCUCUUUCUCUCUCUCUCUCUCUUUAUAUCUCUUUUUCCCUCUUUCUCUCAUUCAUUUUCAUAUGUAUUAGAAACAAUGAUUGAAUCUAAAUGUUCAUAAAUUAUAAUGUAGAUUAUAUAUAUGUACGAUGGUAUAUAAUCCUUAGACAUAAAAAUAACAAAUGUAUUCUAAUCUAGUGCCGAUAAGAAUUUGAUCGUUAACUAAGAACUUUUGUUCCACCGCGGGAAAAUUCAAAAAGCCCAGAGGCGUAUUAUCGAAAACAUCGCGAAAAUGUGGGAAACAACGCGAGAAUGCGAACGCGAUUAUUAAGCGCAUACCGUGCAUUUUUAACGAUUCGCCUAUCCUCUUCUUUCUCUCUCUCUCUUUUUCUCUCUUUCCUUUCCUUUCAUUUUUUCGUCUUUUUUUUUUCCUCUUUUCUUCCGCGCAUACCGCGACCGUAAUCCGAAUUCCGAAACAAUGCGGCUUUUCUCCGUAGCGAUUGUCCCUAUAGCCGAAUUCACUUUCCAAUUAGAAGGUUUACAAUGCACAUUCGACUCGAAUCGUUCCAACGACGGUAUAUUGGCCUACAAUCGAGGUCGACGUCGUCGAGAUAAUAUCGACCAGAGAGGGAGAGAGAGAGAGAGAGAGAGAGAGCGUGACUAACGAUAGCUUUGAUAAGUUCAUUAAACAUAUCCGACAAUGAGUCCUCGUCGCGGUACAAUUCAAUCGAAUCCGUCGGACCGACGGAAGAUCGUUCGAGAUUACCUCACACACCUCAAACUCGCAUUUCAUAUU